GCGCACCUGCCGUGUGCCAGGCGGUGUUCUAGGCCGCCGGGCCCGGGCGGGGUGGGUGGGCAUGGUGAACAGGACUUAGACAAGGGACCAGAGAAUUCUAGGUAGUGACAAGUGCAAGGAUGAAAAUAAGUAGCGCGAAGUGAUAGAUGUGCCGGCGGCGCCUCCAGGAUCAGAGAUCUCUCUGAGCAGGUGGCCCUGAAUCUGAAGCCUGAUUAUUGAAAAGGAAGCAUCCAUCCAUCAGGACGUUCCGAGGGCCAGAACUGGCCUCCUGGAGAGAAGCAUAUUUUGAGGAGCAAGAGCGGAAGUGGAGGCCACGCCGAUGAGGGGUCCAGGGGAGUGGGGCGAUGGUGGCUCGCACCUCUUGGGGGCGCUGCAGACGGAGCGAGGAGGACUGUUUUCCAGAAUGUUAAUCUCCUUGGCAGGCGGACGAAAGGAACGAAAAGGAGAGCUGAUACGUAUUAAGUGCCAACUGCAUACCUCAGUCUCAGGUGAUACAUUCACACAGGAAAUUUUCCCAUUCUUGUCCUCAUCUGCAGAGACACCCACUCCCCAUGCUAUAGGUAA
rnacentral:lncRNA from 1 species